GGGUGGGAAGAAAGGCAGCAGGAAAUACAACUAACCCUUCAGUCAGAAUCGUGUUUAAAGCCUGGAGAACGUUAUAGUUUAGUCUCCAGGGUAUGGGCGGGACUGAGCUUGCCCGGGCACUUCCCAGGGGGCCUUUCAUGGACUCCCAGAACUGCUGGGCUGAAGAGAGUUUGAGGGACCACCCGUGCAAACACGGGGCCUUCGUGUCCCAUCGGUUGUUCAUUUCGGCUUCUAGGGGCGACCUUUGAUCUCAUCCAAAGUCUGUGUGGCAGGAGGCGCCCAUCUUACAUUUUCUUCCCGAAGAAACACCUUUGAAAGACACGAGCUGAGUGCUGACUGAAUGUUUCUAUCUUCUGUCAUAUCACUCGUGCUUGAUGACUCACCCAGGGACCUGACGGAGAGAGUCACUCACAACAAAAAGUUCUGUACUGAUGCUGAUUUGCACAUUUCUUGCCGAACAGAUGAAGGUGCAUCUUCUUGUGUGUCAUGCAUAUUCUGGUCCUGAAAUCAGAUUAAAGUUUUCCAUACUAAUAAAAACAAACAAAAUUCUGCUACUUGUAAUUGUUUUCUAGCACAGGCAUUUCAAACCAGGUUAGAAGUCAAUUAAGCUGUAUUAUUUGUUACUUUCCCUUAUGGAGGCAAAUGAAAUUGUAUACAUGCAAAAAAUAAAAUGAUGCAUUUAUGUGGUCUUAUUUUUAUAUAUAAAUCUCUUUUGAUUAAAAUAAAAGCUAUUUAUAAACUUUAUUUUAUCAUACUUCAUGUUAGAAUUUAGCUUAUAAAAGUAAUAUGCAGUUUUAUAAUACAAUAAAAUCCAUACAAUUAUUGAAAUAUUGGAGCAUACAUGAUUUUUUUUUUUUACAUUUUCAAGUAUGAAGUUGGAUUCCCCCACCCCUGACUGCCCC
rnacentral:lncRNA from 1 species